UUAAAAUAUAUUUUCCUUAACGGGUAACAGGUCGGGUCAUAUUACCUGUUAAUAUUAUCGGGUCAAUUUCGGGUCGGGUUAUUUUACCCGUUUAUUUUAACGGGUGUUACACCUAAUUUACCCUAUAAACUCAUAACAUUUCAUAUAAGUUGUGAAUCUAACAUCUAAUUUACCCUUCAAAGUUAACUCCAUACAUUAUUUUUUUAUAAAAAUUACCAAUCUACCUUCCAAUGUGUAUCAUAUGCAAGUAACGUGACUCAAAUUGACGGAAAUUUGAAUAUAAUCAGUGAUGUAAUUGACAGAUUUUAUAAUUGAAUGACUAAUUUUUCUGAAAAAAAAAAUAGUUUCGGAACUUAAUUUUCACUUAAGUGAUCAUUCAGAAACUAAAUUGAUAAUUUACCUCUUUUUUUUUAAGAGUGACAAUAACAACUCUCUUCUUUUUAUUGAUAAUUAUUACCAAGUUUUGUCACAGCCCGUCCCGAGAUUCUAUUUAUCAAGGUUGUGAAAUGACGAAAGUACCUUUGACGGUUACUAAGGUAUAUGUGUGACUUGUUAUUAAAUAAUACAUAUUUUCCUAAGUUUGGAAAAUUAAAAUGGAUUAAAAUUGAUUUGCAUUUUGUGUGGUUAGGGGAGGGACACACACUUAAAAUCAAACCUCACACCCUCUCUCCUAUCCCGUGCUCUCUCUCUCCUCUUCUCGGUUCUCUCUCUCUCCCUUCGAAUUGUACGGACAAAGAACAAAACCCUCAAAUCAUCACAGAUCGACGCCAAUAAGGGAAUUCUAAGCUUACAAGGAGCUUAGUGAGGUCCUAAGGAAGCUCGGAGUGCUUAGUUUGAAGGUUUUGGACGUCGAGAUCACUGAGUUCGAAGUUAGCCGGUUUUCUUGGAAUUUCUCUGGUGAUACCUAUACCGAGGACGAGCGCAUCCAGGGACGUCA